GGAGAUUUGUCAUUAUUCAUUCAUUAUGGAGCACAUACGAUGUGCUAAGGCAUCAUUUUGAAGCAAUCUGAUGAAGU
rnacentral:lncRNA from 1 species